GCAAACUUGGUCAUUUAGAGGAAGUAAAAGUCGUAACAAGGUUUCCGUAGGUGAACCUGCGGAAGGAUCAUCACAGAGUGAUCGUGUGGGGGCGGUGCCUCUACACUAAUCUUGUGUGAACUGUUGUGUGGUAUAUGUGUGUUGGUGUGUGAUGUGCCAUAGCGCACUCCCACCAACAUCACACAAUCAACCCCUCUUUCUCAACCUCUGUCUAAACAUGUACUCACAAUCUAAACAACUUUUAACAAUGGAUCUCUUGGCUCUCGCAUCGAUGAAGAACGCAGC
rnacentral:misc_RNA from 1 species